rnacentral:rRNA from 1 species
UAGAGUUUGAUCCUGGCUCAGAUUGAACGCUGGCGGCAUGCCUUACACAUGCAAGUCGAACGGCAGCGCGGGAGCAAUCCUGGCGGCGAGUGGCGAACGGGUGAGUAAUACAUCGGAACGUGCCCAAUCGUGGGGGAUAACGCAGCGAAAGCUGUGCUAAUACCGCAUACGAUCUACGGAUGAAAGCAGGGGAUCGCAAGACCUUGCGCGAAUGGAGCGGCCGAUGGCAGAUUAGGUAGUUGGUGAGGUAAAGGCUCACCAAGCCUUCGAUCUGUAGCUGGUCUGAGAGGACGACCAGCCACACUGGGACUGAGACACGGCCCAGACUCCUACGGGAGGCAGCAGUGGGGAAUUUUGGACAAUGGGCGCAAGCCUGAUCCAGCCAUGCCGCGUGCAGGAUGAAGGCCUUCGGGUUGUAAACUGCUUUUGUACGGAACGAAACGGCCUUUUCUAAUAAAGAGGGCUAAUGACGGUACCGUAAGAAUAAGACCGU